GACCGCGUAGCUCAGUUGGCAGAGCAUUGGGCUAGUAUUCCAAAGGUCGUAGGUUCGAUUCCCACCGUGUCCG